rnacentral:rRNA from 1 species
UGACUGACCGAUAGUGAACCAGUACCGUGAGGGAAAGGCGAAAAGAACCCCGGCGAGGGGAGUGAAAAAGAACCUGAAACCGUGUACGUACAAGCAGUGGGAGCACCCUUUGGGUGUGACUGCGUACCUUUUGUAUAAUGGGUCAGCGACUUAUAUUCUGUAGCAAGGUUAACCGAAUAGGGGAGCCGGAGGGAAACCGAGUCUUAACCGGGCGUUAAGUUGCAGGGUAUAGACCCGAAACCCGGUGAUCUAGCCAUGGGCAGGUUGAAGGUUGGGUAACACUAACUGGAGGACCGAACCGACUAAUGUUGAAAA